UGGGGAAUAUUGGACAAUAGGGGCAACCCUGAUCCAGCAAUGCCGCGUGUGUGAAGAAGGUCUUCGGAUUGUAAAGCACUUUCGACGGGGACGAUGAUGACGGUACCCGUAGAAGAAGCCCCGGCUAACUUCGUGCCAGCAGCCGCGGUAAUACGAAGGGGGCUAGCGUUGCUCGGAAUGACUGGGCGUAAAGGGCGUGUAGGCGGUUUACACAGUCAGAUGUGAAAUCCCCGGGCUUAACCUGGGAGCUGCAUUUGAUACGUGUAGACUAGAGUGUGAGAGAGGGUUGUGGAAUUCCCAGUGUAGAGGUGAAAUUCGUAGAUAUUGGGAAGAACACCGGCGGCGAAGGCGGCAACCUGGCUCAUGACUGACGCUGAGGCGCGAAAGCGUGGGGAGCAAACAGGAUUAGAUACCCUGGUAGUCCACGCUGUAAACGAUGUGUGCUAGAUGUUGGGUAACUUUGUU
rnacentral:rRNA from 1 species